ensembl:antisense Gm12289 predicted gene 12289
UGGACCAAAGGCAUGUGGGACCUCUAGCUUUCCUUAUAGCUGCAUGUGACUAUGAUGCUCUCAAACAAGGAUUUUAAUUGAAAAUACUGAGGCAACAUAAUCUGUCCAUGCCAAGCCCAGACCUACUCCUGAAGUAGGCUCGUACCACGAGUUCAGCAACAGGGCUGUUUGUAUCUUAUCCUCCUCAGUCCUGUUCUACCCAGCACACAGUCGUGGAGAGCAGGCUCAGUCUCUGUCAUGUCAUGUGCGUUCUGCACUCUUCCUUCUGGGGAUGAAGACAUCUGUGGUCCCCACACACAUUUGUAACAGUUGCUGAACUCAAAGACACUGUGGAAUCUAUAGCCAUCAAAUAGUUUAGUGAAGAAACUAAAAAUACUAUUUAUGAAAUAGAUGGAAAUUCUCUAAUAACAAAGCAAAAAGCACCUAGAACAUACAAGUGAAAGAGCGCAGAGACCACAGGGUCCAGUCUGUAAAAGCUCAAUGUCACCUGAAAGGAAACAUCUAUGCAAAAUUGAAGGACCCUGUUUUUCACCUCAAAUAUCAUGUGUGUCCCAUGAUGCUGUCUCACAAAGCCUCACUGAGAUUAUUCAGAAACUAAUGAGAAAUCUGAAUCAAAGACAAGUUUUAAGCAAAAGGUAUUUCCUUAAUUUCAAUUAUGAUAAAAGUUUCUCAAUUUACACUUCAUAGUGAUCUUUUGACACUCUUAGCAAAGGCAGGAUGUAAGGGAUCCCCAACUUAGCAAUCUUUUUUUUAAAUUCAACAGAUACAAUUUCACAGCUUUAAUAUAUUUGGUAUCAGUGAUAGCAUUUAAAAGGUUUGAUCAUCAACGGUACAGCUUGAGUCUACCAAGAGCCUUACAUCACACACUAAAUGCAAUUAUAAUUUAUAAUCUGUUAAUUCAAUUAAAUCAGGCAUACAAAAAUAAACAUGAGACCCCCCACUUGGGAAUUCUUCAAGGAUCAUCAUUUUAACUCAAUUUUAAAAUAACAACAUUUAUUUUUUCAGAAAUACUAUGGCUGAACUUCUUAUAAACCCUGAAAGUCUAAUUUUGUGUAAUUUAACUACAGUUGGUACAGAGUAAGGGGUAGCCAGAGGGCCUCUCACAGUCUCUUUUAAAGAAGGUCAGAAAUAUUUUAUUAACAAUUAAUUCACUUGCUUCAAUUUAAACGUGCACUUUUAUAGCACUCUCAGUAACUUGAAAACAGGUCACUCACAGUCCCCACAUUUUGUUUUUACAGGAAGUACAGAAACUAUCUUUAGCUCGAUUUAACUGAAUGAGAACACAGAUUUCCACACAUUACCACAUCACCACUGAUAAAAUAAGUAGUGGCAUGUUUGAAUACAUGGGGCUUAUUUUUUUAGAAUGAAUCUAUGGUGAGUUCUAAGGAAUUUUACUAAAUGAACAAGGCUAAGGGUUACCAGCGGUUUUCUUGGGGAACUUCAUGAAUGUUCCUGGGCACACAUCAUCUCAGAUGCACAGUGCCCACAUGGUGCUGCUCGUCAUGUCAUACAGGUGACCAUUCCACCAGAAGCUCAGACCCACUGGCCUGUGCUCCUUUCAGAACUGCAUAAAUCUACAACGAACUAAACGUAAAACAAUACUUAACAUUCUUACACAAUCCCUUCCACAGUAUUUGAACAUUAAAUUUCAGCAAGUAACAAUGCAUACUUUUUAUUAGUAUUUUAUUUUAAAAUUUAAUAUGCCAAGCUAUGAUAUAGAAUCAAAAUAUACAUAGGAAAAUUAAACAGAGGCAGGAGUGCUCCACGGCACAGACAUUCCUCAUGCUACAGAGAGUUGACUCUCUAUUUCUACAAACCAACUGCUUAUAAGUUCAAACAAUGACUGUGUAUUAAUAUUUCAUAAGAACACUCUAGAGAGAGCAAUCUCUCUGCAAGACUAAAAUGCAUACCUUUGUGACUAGGAAAUGACUACAGGCAGAAAAUGUAAGAGCAGAAACUCUCGUGCAGCCACUGCACGGAGGACAAAAGGACUGUACAGACCACAGCUCUGCGCUGCAGGAGUUGAAAGAUCAGUGUUUUAUUUCAUGCAAAGGGUACUAAAGUAAUACCCUUAGCCAUCUCCACAACUUAUCUUCCUUCAGAAUGUAAGGCGACAAGGUCACAGCACCUGGCUCAUAUGCGUAUCCCAGGCACAAGUGACUGCACAGCUGUGGAAAGCCUCAGCUCAAAUAUCAAAAAUUCCUAAUAUAAUAAAAUGGUGUAAACUU